CUUGGUCAUUUAGAGGAAGUAAAAGUCGUAACAAGGUCUCCGUUGGUGAACCAGCGGAGGGAUCAUUACAGAGUAUCUUACUCACCAAACCAUUUGUUUAUCUACCUACAUUGGCUUCUCCGGCAGGAGGUUCCAGGGCGGGACCAAGCCUAACAGCACCUGCCGAAGGGGCAACCCCACUGCUCUAUACUGUACUGUCUGAGUAACAAAAACAAAUAUCAAAAUUUUCAAUUGUGGAUCUCUUGGUUCUGGCAUCGAUGAAGAACGCAGCGAAAUGCGAUAAGUAAUGUGAAUUGCAGAAUUCAGCGAACCAUCGAAUCUUUGAACGCACAUUGCGCCCAUUAGUAUUCUAUUGGGCAUGCCUAUUCGAGCGUCAUUUCCACCCUCAGGCUUGCCUGGUGAUGGGGCUUUGUACCUACAAACCCUAAAAAUUAGUGGCGGGCGUGCUGAAAACCCGAGCGUAGUAAACAUUUCUCGCUAUGGGCUACAGUGCUGUCCCUGCCGUAAACCCCCCUCUAUAAUGACCAAGGUUGACCUCGGAUUAGGUGGGAAUACCCGCUGGACUUAAGCAUAUCAAUAAGCGGAGGAAAAGAAACCAACAGGGAUUGCCCUAGUAACGGCGAGUGAAGCGGCAACAGCUCAAAUUUGAAAUCUGGCCUUGUGUCCGAAUUGUAAUUUGCAGAGGAUGCUUUUGGUAACGUGCCUUCGGAGUCCCCUGGAACGGGGCGCCAGAGAGGGUGAGAGCCCCGUAUCGUUGUGCACUGCCCCUUUGUAUAGCACCUUCGACGAGUCGAGUUGUUUGGGAAU
rnacentral:sRNA from 1 species